CGCCAAGCACUACUACAACCACACUCAGCCGACUAUCACACAGACGGAACCCGCGCAUUAUAACGUCAAUGUAUUCUUUGUAAGUGCUACGUUGUGCGGCGUGCUGGUUGCGGUGUGCGCGGCGUGCUGGAGACGCGCGCCUUCAGAUAAGCCUGAAGAUGCACGCGACUGUCGCGGCGUCUACACCGUCAGCGCGGACGCCCGAUUACAGGUUCAGGAGGAGCUGCCGGGCCCGCCGCCGGCUUACGAGACCGUCGUCGAGGGCACGACCGAUCAUAAGCCGUGUAACUCGUUACAGGAGGUGAUAACAGAGCCUUGUUCUCGCUGCCAGACAGGUCGCGUCGAUAGCGGCUUACCCUCGUACGAGGCAGCGGUGCUACUUCGCGACACUAAGUUAUAAAAUGCUUUAUAGAUCCUCGGAUCAUGUAUACAUGUAUAAUCGCACAUACUAAUAUAAAUGUAGAAUUGAUACGUGUUUUAGGUUAGAUAAACUAUAUUUAGUAUUGGA